GUACUUACCUAUACUUAGUCAUCCUAUAAUCACUAAGGUGGGUUUACCAGGUGGGGCUUAUCCAUUGUAUUCCACAUAUGCUGACUCUUGCGUUUCCCCAAAGAUGAGAAAUUCUGCUGUCCAGUUUAUGGUAGUGGUGAACUACUUGUUCUCUCCU